rnacentral:rRNA from 1 species
CGGUAACAGAUCCAGCUUGCUGGAUGCUGACGAGCGGCGGACGGGUGAGUAAUGCAUAGGAAUCUGCCCGAUAGUGGGGGAUAACCUGGGGAAACCCAGGCUAAUACCGCAUACGUCCUACGGGAGAAAGGGGGCUCCGGCUCCCGCUAUUGGAUGAGCCUAUGUCGGAUUAGCUAGUUGGUGAGGUAACGGCUCACCAAGGCCGCGAUCCGUAGCUGGUCUGAGAGGAUGAUCAGCCACAUCGGGACUGAGACACGGCCCGAACUCCUACGGGAGGCAGCAGUGGGGAAUAUUGGACAAUGGGGGCAACCCUGAUCCAGCCAUGCCGCGUGUGUGAAGAAGGCCCUCGGGUUGUAAAGCACUUUCAGCGAGGAAGAACGCCUAGCGGUUAAUACCCGCUAGGAAAGACAUCACUCGCAGAAGAAGCACCGGCUAACUCCGUGCCAGCAGCCGCGGUAAUACGGAGGGUGCAAGCGUUAAUCGGAAUUACUGGGCGUAAAGCGCGCGUAGGUGGCUUGAUAAGCCGGUUGUGAAAGCCCCGGGCUCAACCUGGGAACGGCAUCCGGAACUGUCAAGCUAGAGUGCAGGAGAGGAAGGUAGAAUUCCCGGUGUAGCGGUGAAAUGCGUAGAGAUCGGGAGGAAUACCAGUGGCGAAGGCGGCCUUCUGGACUGACACUGACACUGAGGUGCGAAAGCGUGGGUAGCAAACAGGAUUAGAUACCCUGGUAGUCCACGCCGUAAACGAUGUCGACCAGCCGUUGGGUGCCUAGCGCACUUUGUGGCGAAGUUAACGCGAUAAG